UAUAAAUAUUAAUCAGGUUACCUUUAAGAUGUACAGCAUUACCUUAAUCCAUUAUUCUAAAGAACUUUGAAAGUUAAAUGACUUCUAAAUAUUAAAGAGAAGAGUAUUUUUAUAAUAUUAUUUUUUAUCUCUAAUCAUUUCCACUAUAUCUUCAUCUAUUGACAUUGAUAUACAACAGUUGCCUUAAACAUCUCCUUCUGCAAUAUGAUUAAUAAUUUAAGUGAGUUAUUAUCUACGUAAGCAUCUAAUUAUCUGUGUGAAUUGGACGCACUUACAGGUAACAAGCGGUUUGCAUUUGCUUAUGUGCCCAGGUACCGCUAGCUGGAAGUGAUAGAUGAUAGAUAGCGCGCUGAGGGCACGGGCACCGUUAUUUGCACAUUACUUUACGGUUUCAGCUACACCCAAAACACAUUGAGGCCCAAAUAAACAUGUCGAGCGUCAUAAAAACAGAACGACACGGACAUGGACAUGGACAUGGACAUGGAUACGCAAAAAUGGUCAUUGAAAUGGGAGCGGCAGAGGGAACUGGAGCGGGAGUGGGAGCGGCAGAAGGGAAUGGGAAAGGGAAUGGGAACGGGAACGGGAACCGGGAACGGGAAUGUGAGCUAGAGCUGGACCUUACCAAUUGCUGGCGAAUACGAAGAACUAUUUGCAACUAUUCAUUUUCGCGCAUGUUUCAUAGUUUUAGUGCGCCUGCAUGUUUAAGUUGUUUUAGUUGUUUGCUUGUUUGUUUGUGCUCGUGUUUGUGUUUAUGUUUGCCUUCAAGUGUGGCUGUUGUUGCUGUUGACGUCGUCGUCAACAUAAUGCGAGCAUUACCGAUCCAUUGUUGUGUAUGUCUGCCCCGUCAGUCCACCUUCUGCUGGCUCUGCUCGCAGUUCGCGCAAUUUUCAAAUCAAUUUUGUUUACUUUUUAUGCACAAACAACAGCAAAAGCAACAGCAACAGCCACAGCAACUGCGACACACGCACUGCCACUUUUCUCCCCACUUUUCUGGCCAUAUCUGCGCGCCGGCUGUCCGUGUGUUUAACAACAUUUUUAUGGUUUGGCACACACCCUAAGCCAAAUGGCAACAAAAAAGUCGUCAGUGUUUGAAAAGUGCAUCGGUAGGCGAGAGAAAGACGGGCAGACGAGCAGCCGGAGAGACGGACAGACUGGCUAACUGUCUGACAGACAUGUACAUGCAACUGCAGCAGCAGCAGCAGCUCUGUAACUGUAAAUUAUACAUUUCAUAAAUUUCGCUACAUAUUUCGUGAUAAUCGCAUGUAAUUGCGUUUUAUCUGCACCUUUCAUCCGGACAUGUGAGCAAACAAAUGCGCUUAAUGCAAAGCGCCCUUAAACAGCAGCAGCAACCCCUUUCAAGCCCGAAAUGCAAAAAACUGACCACAGUAACUAGCGCUCAGUAACCAGUUAGCAGUUCCAUUUGCCAGACCGAAAGGCAGGCGGGCAGGCGGGCAAGCGGGGCUCGUUUUUGUUGUUUUCGUUUUGGGCUCAAGCGCGCUUCAAUGGGCUUUGGCCAUGUCCAGCGAUUUGCGGGCAGCGAUAGCCAACUAUACGAACAAUUUCUUAAUAUUUUACAAUAAUACGAUAUUUGGGUUACAACAAAAGCCAACACACACACGCAACUUGGCAACUUGGCAGCUUUGCAACCCCUCGCAGCGCUGCCUCGUCUUUGUAAGUUGCAUUAAAAUGUGGCGACGGACAGCUUAUGUAUUUUGCAUUGAGUGUGUGAGUGUGUGCGUUGCUGUGUGUAUGUGGACGUUGUUGUGAUAACAACUCACGCGAUUAUCAAUUUGACACCCAAACAUUGUGUUGUUCGUUGGCCGCUGGUCGCCGAGUUGCCUGAGUGAAUGACUGCGAAUAUAUUCGCAACUGGAUGGCUGAUCACGACAUCGGGCCAACAACCACAUAAAAACAAAAAAAAAACAAAAAUAACACCAGCAACAACACAACAGAAAAGCUGUCGGCGUGUUGACUACCGCAGAAUAUCAGCAGCAGCAGCAGCAGCAACAGCAACGGCAGUGGCAACAACAACAACAACAACAAUAAAAGUAGUGACAGCGGGGAUUAGGCAAAUUUUGUGCAGUCAGUUCGUAGAGUCGACCCUUCUGGCAUGCCAACAGCCCGAGCUAAUAUAGCAGUUAUACAGUAACCAACAAUUUUAAAGGCUUAAAGGGUCACUCAUUCAGCUACAAUGUUUGGAAAAACGCCUAAGCCUUGCAGUCGAGUGUAGCAGGCUGCGUAAUGCUCGUUAACAGUGCAAUAAAACGUUGAAAGACUUUAACUAUCCCAUAGGCGGUAAUUAUGCUGUAUGCUCAUAGCCAAAACUGCAUGGAGUUCAGAGUGAUAUAUACACACACAUCAUCGACAGCAUUUACUUAUCUGCAUAAUUUGUUGAAGAGAUUUGUUAAGAGCAUUUUCAACGCUUCGAAAAGAAAAUGUACCAAGCGACAGCUACACCAGCAGCAACAACAACAACAACGAGAGCUGGCUUAAUUAUGCUGUCACAGAGGCCAGAAGAUAAAGAAAAACAACAACAACAACGAACCGUCUUUCGUCUCUCAGCAAGAGGCGAGAUAUGAGGCCGAAGUUUACAAGUAGUACAAAAUUCGAAUAUAUAUUUCAGCGCUUAAUUCCGUAUGACACGAUAUGCUGACGGAGGGGCGAGUAAUCUAUUAAAUGGAGCAAUCUUCGAGUGGCAUUCAAAUGCAUUUUUCAACAACUACAUCAACUUGUGGGCAACACUGCCCAGGUGCCCCACACACACACACACACACAGACUUUGCUCCUCCUGCUCUGGCAGCUUUAGUGUUGAGUAAUGAAUGAAAUGCAAAAUAUUUGAAAAAUAAUUUAUAGGCGUUGCUCGGCCGCUGGCUAUGAAUGUCAAUUCGAAUUAAAAUCAUUUAUUUAACUCACAUAUGUAUGUGUGUGUGUGUGUGUGUGAAUGUGGAGCACUCGGUGCUCAGCUGGAAAUUCGCUUUCGAAUAAUUGAAAAUUGAGAGGCUGGCAAUAAAGGAUUAAGCCUGGACAAGCAAUUUGCGCAGGCGCUUUCAACUGACGUCAUUUAUUGUGUUAGGAAAAAUAAAUUUAAAAAUGCAUAAAGGGCCGCAAAAAAUAAAACAAAAGGCAGCCAUGCUGUGGCCAACCGCAGCGUUAUUAUUUAAAUGUGCAUUACGCACACACACACACAUGCACUCACAUGCACUUACACAUUCAGACACAUUAAAUUAACACACAGAUGCCUGUCGUUAAAAAAAUCGACAGUUGGCUGGCGGUAUUCCCAGUGCCAGUCGUAGGACCUCUCUCUCUCUCUCUCUCUCUCUCUCUCUUUCUCCGUCCCGCAUACGACAUGUUGUCAUCGUCAUCAACCCUUUUCCUGGUGUCCUGGCUGCGGCGGCGUCAUAAUUAAUAAGAGAAAUCCCUUUUCAAUUUGACGGAGUGCAUUUGUCAUUGCAUUUAAUUUGCGGAGUACGCGGCCAAAGACGAGAAACAGAGGAUGUCCGGAAGUUGUCGUUGUCCUCGAGUGCGGUUGGUCCCCGGCCGGGUCGCGGCUGCAUCAGCCAGCGUCUGGUGUCAAGUAGGGGCUGUCCUCUCCUGUAACCGUUUUGCCGUUCACACGAAACAUAUUUAAAUGCAUAGCGCUUCAGUAGUCAGCGAAAUUAACAGUCGCGCCAUAGAAGGAUAGAUGGAGAAUCUAACAAAACUAUGAGGGUCGCCGGCCUUGGUUCUGUUUAAUGUUGCAUUAGCCCAAGGGCCGUUGCAAUUAGUAAGUAUGCCUCAUUUUGAUUUCGGGCAGGCACUCGCCAUGUCUUUCCCGCCCACACCGAGAGCUGUUCGAAGCCUUUUGACGAAAGCGGAUGAUGCUGAUGCCGAUGCUGAUGUCGAUGCUGUUGUCGAUGUCCAGUUUUAUUGACGCGUCUCCCUGGACCAUAUUGUUUGUAUUUUAAAUUGGCAGCGCGCUUAGCACAUCCGCCGGCGCGCAACGAGCCGAUAGAGCGAUGCGCAGAUGGGGAUGCGGACGAGGAUGCGAUUGUCGAUCCAGUGUGAGUUGCACGAAACGCGCUUGCGGACCAAUAAUUGAUUGCCUUACCGUUAGGCAGCUGCUCAAAAUGCGCAAGUGGCAGCAGGUGAGCGAGCCAAUCUCCCAAACCCGACCGCCAGCCACUUUGCACAGAUGAGAUUUUCAAUUUGACUAGGGCCGCCCGAAUGUUUGCGUAUUAAAUUUGCAUGGAAAUCUGUCUAUAUUGACCGAGAAUGGCCAAUGCAAAUGUUUGCCGGGCCAAAUGAAUGGCCGAGAAUGAAGAGACAGCAGCAAUUGCUGCUGCUGUUGAUGUUGCUGUUGGUCAGUCAACGGACAGGGGGCAAUGCACCCGGCGAUGGCGUCGACGUCGGCGUUGCUGCUGCGAUUUGCCUCUUUGGGCAUUUUUAAUACGCGUUUCCAUUUGCGCUUGCCAAAUGUUAUCAUUGCAACGACAGCGGCUUGCGCCACAGCAACAGCAACUGCAACAGCAACAACAACAUCUACAGCAACAGCAGCAAGCCCAACGCCAAGCGCUGAGCGCACAGUCCCAUGUCCCAGUCCCAGCCCAGUCCCAGUUCCAAUCCCAGCGCCAGUGCCAGUCCCAGCCGCAGUCCAAUGCCCCCAUUGGUCCACAGCGAUUGUUUUUAUCGAUGGGCCUACGCUAUCAGCUGGGUACAGUUGCGCCCAAUGCCCAUGACUGUGAAUGUAGUCGGAGUCAGACUCGUGUCCGUAAUUGUGACUGUGGCAGCGACUGUGACUGUGCUCUGCACUUAGACUGAAUGCAAAAACAAACAUUUUACUUGAGUAACAUUUGUUGUACGCUCAACUCUUCUCUUUUUUCUCGCAGCACAAAUAGUCGGACAGUUGAUAAAAUGCCCGAGCAGCCUGCUGGAUGGACGUGUCUGGUUAGAUGGGGACACAUAUGCCCAGUGGCCAGUGCCAGUGCUCACUGGACUAUGGACAGUGCAGUGCCAUCAUGUCAUCAAGCAUCAGACUGUGCACAAACAGUUUCAAAUUAAUUAUUUGCUAGUGUUAAUGCAAAUGAAGUCAUUAAGACGCACAGACUGGCCGGGCAGAAGGCAAAUUUGGCCAAUUGAUGGCUCGCUGAUUGAGUCAGCCUUGGCCUAAGCUGAAAUCAAUGACAUUCGCUGUGACAUUCAAACUAUGCUUAUUACAUUUGUUUUUCACCAUAACUAAGCAUGCCGAACAAUUAAGUUCCGUUUAUACCUACAAAAUUAGAGAGUGUUCAUUUAGAUUCCAGUUACACCCGCACACUGCACUUACACUUUUCACAGCUCUCUAUACUUGUUAAGUUAAUACGGUUUUGACCAGGCACGUCAGGCCAACAAACAUUGAUAGAGCUAAAUUCCAAAUUGAUUAACAAUGUUAAUAUCACGCUUGCGUAACGAGCUGAUAAACUAUUGCUCGACUGAACUGAAGAGCUGGACACGUGAGACACGGCGCCUGGAGAGCUUGGGGCGUGGCAUAAUUGGGCUUCUUGCUAAGCUGCCCAUG